rnacentral:rRNA from 1 species
AGUGAACGCUGGCGGUAGGCCUAACACAUGCAAGUCGAACGGCAGCACAGUAAGAGCUUGCUCUUACGGGUGGCGAGUGGCGGACGGGUGAGGAAUACAUCGGAAUCUACUUUUUCGUGGGGGAUAACGUAGGGAAACGUACGCUAAUACCGCAUACGACCUACGGGUGAAAGCAGGGGAUCUUCGGACCUUGCGCGAUUGAAUGAGCCGAUGUCGGAUUAGCUAGUUGGCGGGGUAAAGGCCCACCAAGGCGACGAUCCGUAGCUGGUCUGAGAGGAUGAUCCGCCACACUGGAACUGAGACACGGUCCAGACUCCUACGGGAGGCAGCAGUGGGGAAUAUUGGACAAUGGGCGCAAGCCUGAUCCAGCCAUACCGCGUGGGUGAAGAAGGCCUUCGGGUUGUAAAGCCCUUUUGUUGGGAAAGAAAAGCAGCAGGUUAAUACCCCGCUGUUCUGACGGUACCCAAAGAAUAAGCACCGGCUAACUUCGUG